rnacentral:rRNA from 1 species
GACGAACGCUGGCGGCGUGCUUAACACAUGCAAGUCGUACGGUAAGGCCCUUUCGGGGGUACACGAGUGGCGCACGGGUGAGUAACACGUGAGUAACCUGCCCACAACUUUGGGAUAACGCUAGGAAACUGGUGCUAAUACUGGAUAUGUGCUCCUGCUGCAUGGUGGGGGUUGGAAAGCUCCGGCGGUUGUGGAUGGACUCGCGGCCUAUCAGCUUGUUGGUGGGGUAGUGGCCUACCAAGGCGGCGACGGGUAGCCGGCCUGAGAGGGUGACCGGCCACAUUGGGACUGAGAUACGGCCCAGACUCCUACGGGAGGCAGCGGUGGGGAAUAUUGCACAAUGGGCGCAAGCCUGAUGCAGCAACGCCGCGUGCGGGAUAACGGCCUUCGGGUUGUAAACCGCUUUCAGCAGGGACGAAGCUUUUUGUGACGGUACCUGCAGAAGAAGCACCGGCUAACUACGUG